UGCAGAGGUCCCAAGCGUUGUUCGGAUUCACUGGGCGUAAAGGGUGCGUAGGUGGCGGGGUAAGUUUGAUGUGAAAUCUCCGGGCUUAACCCGGAAACUGCAUUGAAUACUAUUCUGCUCGAGGUUUGGAGGGGGGACUGGAAUUCUCGGUGUAGCAGUGAAAUGCGUAGAUAUCGAGAGGAACACCAGUGGCGAAGGCGAGUCCCUGGACAACACCUGACACUGAGGCACGAAAGCUAGGGGAGCAAACAGG
rnacentral:rRNA from 1 species